CACCGGUCUGCGGGGGAAUUGAGCCUGGUUGUAAACCUCCACACGGUGCGGUUCUCAGAGUAAUGGCUGUCUACAAGAAGACGCUGCAGACCAUCGCAGUCAUUUGAUCAGAGCGGAGGGCAGCCAAAGGCCUCAGUAUCUUGAGGAUCACAACACAAAAAAGCACAGUGUGACUGUUCCCUAUGAGCCGCCCCAGCCGGGCUCAGAGAUCACCACAAUCCUGUUCAACUUCAUGUGCAACAGCUCCUGCAUGGGAGGCAUGAACCGCAGACCCAUCCUCACCAUCCUGACCCUUGAGACUUCAGAGUACGUAUGGUUUCAUCUACCAGGAUUGGUGUGAGCUGAAAUGUAUU